rnacentral:rRNA from 1 species
GACGAACGCUGGCGGCGUGCUUAACACAUGCAAGUCGAACGGACAGGCCCUGCUCUUGCUGGGCGCACGAGUGGCGAACGGGUGAGAAACACGUGAGUAACCUGCCCCUGACUGUGGGAUAACUCCUGGAGACUGGGGCUAAUACCGGAUAGGAGCUCCUGCUGCACGGUGGGGGUUGGAAAGUUUCGGCGGUUGGGGAUGGUAUCGCGGCUUAUCAGCUUGUUGGGGAGGUAGUGGCUUACCAAGGCUUUGACGGGUAGCCGGCCUGAGAGGGUGACCGGCCACCUUGGGACUGAGAGACGGACCAGACUCCUACGGGAGGCAGCAGUGGGGAAUAUUGCACAAUGGGCGGAAGCCUGAUGCAGCAACGCCGCGUGCGGGAUGACGGCCUUCGGGUUGUAAACCACUUUCGCCUGUGACGAAGCGUGAGUGACGGUAAUGGGUAAAGAAGCACCGGCUAACUACGUG